rnacentral:rRNA from 1 species
UACGUAGGGGGCGAGCGUUGUCCGGAUUUAUUGGGCGUAAAGAGCUCGUAGGCGGCUCAGAAAGUCGGGUGUGAAACCUCCAGGCUCAACCUGGAGACGCCACCUGAUACUGCUGUGGCUAGAGUCCGGUAGGGGAACACGGAAUACCCGGUGUAGCGGUGAAAUGCUUAGAUAUCGGGUGGAACACCAGUGGCGAAGGCGGUGUUCUGGGCCGGAACUGACGCUGAGGAGCGAAAGCGUGGGUAGCAAACAGG